AUAGCUCUUACAGUUCUUGAGAUCUCGACGUUCAUACGGACGGACAGGCACAGAUCGACUCCGGCUAUUGGCCUGAUCUUAUACAUAUAUACUUUCUUCCUCUUACAUAGUUUUUAACGAAUCUAAUAUGCCAGUUUAUACUACGAGUAACUGGAACAUAAUACUGGAAGAUAAAUAAUUUUUUGUCGAAUUUACGAUAUAAUGCCCAAAUUUGUGGUUACAUGUAAAGACGGCUAAAUAUACUGAGCGGCUGCUUGUCUUAAAGAUUUAUAAUUUUUUUCCAGGGGGCCUGGCCAUAGCCGAAGCAAUGAAUAGUUGAAGAAGGGUGGGUUAGUCUUCUACCACAGUGUGUUUUUGUGGACUCCGCCCGUCGUUGGCUGCCUUCGUUCGCUGCAGUUGUAGAGUCGAAGUUCAGUUCAUUAUCGUAUUUCCCCGUUUAGAGAAUUUACAAAUGAACAUUUGGAUCACACAUGUUGGUCUUGCCAAGGAGCGACAGGGAGGAACCGAGAGUGUUAGAGCGAGAAUGCGUCCGAGGGAAUGCGUGUGUGUGAGUUGCAGCCCAGAUAAGACCGUCCGAGGUUGUCUAUUUUGUCCCCCGAUCAUUUAAGCCGCUGAAAUCCAGUAACUGCAAUCGACAACCGCGUCGGUAGGGAAGCAAAUGGCGAACCGAGAGCCAGAGAAAAAUGAAAACGCUUUGUCUCACAACGUGCCCGCACAAACGUUGUCACGAUCAUUUUUCUGGCAAAACUCUGCGAUCUCCGCCCUAUAACAGCUUCCCCACCCCCUUCACCAAGGCAAUAGCUUGCUUCCGCUGCUGUCUUUUCUUAUCCACAGCUACAUGCAUAUGUAUCUGGCCAGAUCUGAGGAUUGCCUGACCUAUUGGACCGUUUGUUCGCAGAGCGCAAGGGUAUACAAGGUGUCUUAGAGCUCAACCCUAGGAAGGAUAUGUCCUCGCAAUGAGAAGUUACAGUGUUGCGAAGUGCUUAUAUUUAUAGAAAUGUUCCAUCUGUUUGACCAUUCGCCGUACGAGUCCAGAAAGUCUUGAUGCUUCGAGUAAAAGUUCGCGAGGAAGGCAGUGUCAUCAGUCUAUUUUGCGUGCACUGUACAUUUGGAAACAGGACUCUUCCCUAAGGAACGCCAGCAAGAAAACUUCUGAUUUUAAACCUUUUCCCUCACCACAUCCAUAAAGCUUCGAUUAAGUAGGAAAUAUUGACCAGUCGAAAUGAUAUAAGUACGUUUAAAACGGCAUUUAGUAUGGUAGAUUUAUAAUAAAACUUAAGUUUUCGAAAGUUUAUUCAAUUUACAUUAAAUUAUCCAGAUAUUUUGAGA